UGUGCUCUCUCAUCAAAUAAUUUUCAUUGUGGGUUAAUCAUCUCAUAACAUAAGGAGUGUUUGCUUGAUGGGCAUUCAGACCAAAUGAUGAACGAAUUAGAUCCUAGGUUCUCCAAAAGAUGACAUUGUGUUUUGCUUCCGUUACCUCAUAGAUUUUCAGCCUUUGCGUCAAAAUGAUUUUAUGCAUUUGUUUUCGCACUAACUUGUAUUUUUUUAAGCACAACCAUCCAUAUAUGUAAAAAAAACUCAUGGCCACUUGUGCGAUUGAUAGAAAUCAGUUAACAUCUCAAUUUCCUCAUGUGCUAUUGUAUGACUAUGGAGGUUUUUCUAACAUGAUCCUUCUUACCUCCCCUUUUCACAUGAGACGUAAGAGUAUAAAGUAAAUCUGAGUCAUUGACUGCAUUAAGUAGUGGGCUUGACUAAAUCUUACCUUCUUAACUCCCAUGUGAAAAGAUGGGGUAAGAGGAAGCAUGUUAAAAUGGCUCAUGAACGGUGCUGCCGCCAGUGGCAGAGCUUGAGCAUAAUCCAAGAGGGCCAUUACUUGAAGGGGGGGAAAUUAGAAGGGAAGGAGGGGAAAAUAUCUAGUUUAAACACUAGUUAGGCUUAAAAUAUAGUAUAUUCAUUGAUGGGUGCAAAAAUUAAGGGGGGCCAUGGCCCCUGUUGGUCUACAUGAAGCUCCGCCACUUGCUGCCGCACAUUCUACAGUAUUGUUAUAGACACUGACUGACUCUUAUUUUUGCACUAUAUCCAAAUGUACUAGCAGUCAUAAGACACCAAUCUGUCAGGAUCUCGGCUUUUGGCCUUCUGCUAGGAUGCACUAAAGAUAUUGAUAAGUCUCGCCAUUCCUGGAUGUUGUGAAGGUUACCUGACUGGAACAGAUUGUUCUGGAGAAGGAUAUGGAGGCGCGGCAAACCUAAAGCAACGAUGAUGCAACAAAUGGAAUGUGAUCGAGAAUGGUAUUAUCUACAUGUGCACACCAGAGAGCAUACAAAUUAGGGUCUGCAUGGACGACCAAAACACAUGGCAUUUUUUAUCAACUAGACCAUCCUUUUUUCUUUGAUCUACUAACAUUGGUUGCCAUUUCGGGCUUUUGGGCCGACCUUCGGGCGAGAAAUUGAAGCCCAAGCCUACCCCAGAUGUCGGGCUUUGGGCUCAGGCCUCUGGGCCGGGUAGUCCAUGAACAGGUUUAGUUUGAUCUAUUCACUCACAUUUUGAUCCUCAUUCAUUAUAGCAUUUAACCAUAAUUCAUAUGAACAUGCACCACGAGAAUAUAAUAAAGGAAAUGCAUGGGCUAAUUUGUAGUACACAACGCCUUAUUGUGCGGUAUCACAAGAACAUUUUUCUCCUUGAUUACAAUAGUAACUACUAUGCAAUCUUAUAUAUCAAAUCAUAUAUUAUAUGACAAAUUAAGUAUAUUGUUUUGCUUAUUUCAGUAUUACCUUCAUAAGGAAUAUAGUCACAAGUUUUGCUCCAAACGCAACGUUAUUGAGUUCAUACGAAAUGGAACUGUGAAAGGGAAGUCGGUUCAGAAGGUGCCUAAAUACUUGACUUUCAAACAUAUAGUAAUUAUGCGAAGAUGUAUAUGUUUUUUGUAUUAACUUUAAAGUAUUAAUUUGACACGGUAUCCUAUUUUUGCACAGAGAUCAUCUGAUACUUCUAUGAACAAUCUUCAGGGUAUGUCCAGUUGGCCCCAUGCAUUUGGAUAUUAUUUUGUAUACUAUUAUUACUAUACAGAGAUAUCUAACUGAAACUGAAAUAUAAUAAAUAUUCAUGGAGAGAAAAAUAGACAUUAAUGUCCACAUACACAACAAAAUUAACCAGUACUGUCCUAGUUUACAUGAAUUAAUAUUUUCAAUGACAAUUAGGUUACUCAUGACAUGAUAAAGAAAAAAAAUGUGAGGUAAGAUAAGGUUUUCUAUAAUUUUUCAUGGGGACCUCCUCAUGGUUGCAGAUACAUAGUUUUACAGUGCUUCAUGAAAUAGUUGCAUAUCAUCAUGUCUAAAAGAAUCAUGACGGACACAACUUCAAGAAAUUCUUCUUGUAAAAUAACAUGAUUUGUAUAUACCUCAUAAAGGAUGUAACUUGUUGGUAGCAUUUAAUAUUGUGACACACUCGCCAUCUUUUGUGCCAGCAUUAUUUGGGUGAUGAUUUAAUAUCCAAAAGCAUACAUCAAGGUAGUUAUGUGCAAUGAUAUUCUUGUGAAAAUAACUUCCAUAGUGUAUACUUGCAUAUAUGUAUUGCUCUAUUGUAUUCUCACAGUUAAUCCUUUUUCUUAAUUUUUUGUUUGUUUAUUUAUGUUUAGAGCAAGAUUAUAAAUUAAGCUGAGCAUAAUUUCUGCAGAUUAUAGAUGGCCCACUGAAAGACAAAGGGCGAAGGCGCAAACUUCAAAUAAUUCUUCUUGCCACAUAGGUUUUUCUAAUUGUGCGAGCAUACCACUUGUAACUGCCUUCAGUCAUCUAUGUCAGUAGUAUUUUGAGAAGAAUUUCAUUACAAAAUGCAAUGACUCAAACAAUCAGAUUGUUCAUGAUGAUUCCUAAUUGUAUAACCAAUAAGCUUAACGCACCUUCCUAUUUUAGAGUUGUUAUGUUAAUAAGUAUAUACUAUCUGUUAUUAAUGUUGUUAAUGGGUGAAGAACAUUUGUUGCUCAUGGUUAGAAUGUAGAAUUUUCUUAAUACAACAACCUAGAGCGAAUGUGGAGGCCAAUAUAGAUUGAAACCAUUAAUUCAUAUUAAAAUGGUCAUGACUUCUUAUUUUUAUUUGACAUAAAUGUUUGUGACUUGUUUGAAUUAAUGUGUUCUGCAAUUAUAUGAUACUUGCGUAUUCAUACUAUUUUUAUGAAUUGUGCAGCUAGUUUGUCGACAGGAGCACGAACAACCACAACUUCUACAAAGCUUCCACAUGGUUUCAUCUAGUAUCAUGCAAAAGACAUUGAGACAAUCAAGAUUACUUGAGCAACCUGAAUUAUGUUAGUUGUUACCUGCUUUCAAACGAAUGUGUCCUCUCAUAGUAUGCAUGUACUUCUGUUGUUGAGGAAUUUAUAUCAUUAGACAGUUCUGUUUUUCAUAAUUAUUGAUUAAUGGGUACAUACCUUCAAUCCUGGAAGAUUAUCAGAUAGCCAGUCAAGGAAGCAAUUUAUUUAUUGAAUUGUGCAUAAUAGGAACAUUUUUACAUUCAAAGGAACAUCAUAGGAAUAAUUUGGUAUUUCGAGAAGAUUUUCCAGUCCCCUGCCCCAACCUACUGGAGACAGUAUGAGUGGUGACAGACACAUUUGUAACAUACGAGCAAGCUAGUGCAGCAGCUUCAGUCACAUGCUCUGGAAGCCCAUUUUGGGUCUUCCUUCAGAAGGCUCAACAAGGCCAUCAUCACACCAUUCUAGUUAGUUACUUCUGCAACGAUAUAUGUCCUUAAGAAAAUAAGAAGCUAGGGUUCUAGUAGACUUAUAAUGCUCUAGCAGCACCACGUUGGAUAUGCUCGCACAAAUAAAAUAACAUGAAUCGAGUCUAUAUGUAAGCACAUAUCUUGUCACCAGUCAACUACUAGUACAGUAAGAGCAUCAAAGAGGAAUUCAUUUCAUAUAGAAUAGUCGCAAUCAUAUACUUCUGUUCUGCACAUACUGCUCAUUAUCAUGGACAAUGAUGUAGCUAGAUAAAAGGGAGCAUGUGGCAAUAAUGUAAGCAGGGAGGCUCCAGGGAAGAGCUCAACAGACAGAACUAACCUGCUCUUGCAAGGAACCAGUAAGCCUUGCUACAUUGUCACCUUCAUGCUGCAUGGCAUCGUGUCCACCAGCUAUUGUGGUAUGUCGCAAAUCUUUCCUCUCAUCUUUUCACCGAAAGCGAUCGUUGGCGAAUUCUAAUCUUUCUGGAACAACAUUCCUAAUUCCCUGCACUAGAAGGUCAUCAUGAUGCAUCGGUACAUCGGAAUUCCGGCCACAUUAACAAAAUCUUUGCCCAAACCAAAUUAAGGUAGAAAUGAGAAAUGAAGGAGAGCACCAAAUAGUAAGUUAGGUUACACACAUAUAUAUAGAAAUGCCGUUCAUAGUAAAAACAACAGGAAGUGUAUCCAUGUUGUUUGCUUAGGUGGCUGAAACCAAGGUCCUAUUCACUGGGAUGAUAAACCUACUAAAUAAAAGGGUUCUCAAAGUCCCCUCAGAACUAGAGUCGAGUAACACAGUCAUGAUCCCAUGGGGUUUCAGGAUAACGACAUGCAAAUGUGGUUAACACAAUCAGCUCUCUCAUUAAGAUUUGUCUUAUUUUUUAUCACUACAGGAAAAUUCAUGUUUGCCGAGUGUCAGUGUCUUUGCUGAGUGCAUUUUGUUGGGCACUCAGCAAACAUAUCUUUGCCGAGUGUAAUCCUGAAACACGGUAAACAGGUGCUUUGCCGACUGUCGUGGAAAAAACACUGGCAAAAAAGUUAUAGUUGCUAAAAUGUGCUUUGUUGAGUGUCUUGGAAAUAACUCUCAGCAAAAUAGUGGAACUCAGGCAAAGAUGUGCUUUCUCGAGUGCUACACUCGGCAAAAGGGGGUAUGCACUGCGCUCACUGUUUUGGCCGUCGAGAUUGCAUACAACCUCGGAUGAAGAUGAUCCAAAAAUCAAAGUUUUACAUUUCGACGUGAUGAAUAAUUUUCAUGUUGAGGACCUUUUCCUUUUAGACCAUAUUAUUUACACUUAUUGCCAUGCCAAAGUAUGGUCUCAAAUGAAUAAGGCGGUGGUCAUAUUUAUUGCAAUUUACGACUAUGGGCCUAACCUUGGCAUUUAUGUGCAUCUGGCCAUUACAAACAAUGUUGCCAAAUAGAGUUUCCAACAUUUCGUACAAAGAUAAUUUUUCUAUUUUUGAAGUGUAAAAAAUUGAUACUUUUGUGAAGCUGGUACAAAAAUCGAGUGCAAAAUGGCAUCACUCCAAUUUUCACAAAAAUAGACCAUAUUUUUUGGAAAAUUCCCAUUUUUUGUGGAUUUUCUAGAUUUCUAGCUACUUUCACACAUUUAAAUGACUUUAUUAUGAUUCCGCAAAAUUAAUUCAAUUUGAACUGUAAUUGUGUGAUAGCUCUAUCCUACAAAUUUGCAAAAAUAUACUUUUAGGUACACAAGUAGUCAUUACAUGGAAACCCCACUUAGAGUUUGAGAGAUUCAACCCCUUGACAUGAAUAGACAUGCCGGCCACUUUCACCCCGUUUUGGAAAAAAUGAAACAAGAAGGAUACAAGUUCAAAAAAUGCAAUCCUUUCAUAUGGACUCCUUUUAUGUGUACUAGUGUAGAUGAAAAUACCAAACUUUCAAUAUGACAGUUUUGAAAGAAAAAUAUCCUGCACAAAUGGGCUAUCCUCUAUGAACAUUCAUGGCUUUCAAGUCAAAUGACCAAGGUGAUGACCAUAUUCAUUGCAUAGUUUAUUAUAAUGUGCCCAAAUUAGACAUAUAGGUGAACCUUGCCAUUACAAAUAAUGUUGCAAAAUAGGGUUGAAGGAAAUAUGCCCUAGAGGCAAUAAUAAAGUUAUUAUUUAUUUCCUUAUUUCAUGAUAAAUGUUUAUUAUUCAUGCUAGAAUUGUAUUAACCGGCAACAUAAUACAUGUGUGAAUACAUAGACAAACAUAGUGUCACUAGUAUGCCUCUACUUGACUAGCUCGUGAAUCAAAUAUGGUUAAGUUUCCUAGCCAUGGACAAAAGAGUUGUCAUUUGAUUAACGGGAUCACAUCAUUAGGAGAAUGAUGUGAUUGACUUGACCCAUUCCGUUAGCUUAGCACUUGAUCGUUUAGUAUGUUGCUAUUGCUUUCUUCAUGACUUAUACAAAGUUCCUACAACUAUGAGAUUGUGCAACUCCCGCUUACCGGAGGAACACUUUGUGUGCUACCAAACGUCACAACGUAACUGGGUGAUUAUAAAGGUGCUCUACAGGUGUCUCCAAAGGUACAUGUUGAGUUGGCAUAAUUCGAGAUUAGGUUUUGUCACUCCGAUUGUCGGAGAGGUAUCUCUGGGCCCUCUCGGUAAUACACAUUACUUAAGCCUUGCAAGCAUUGCAACUAAUGAGUUAGUUGUGGGAUGAUGUAUUACGGAACGAGUAAAGAGACUUGCCGGCAACGAGAUUGAACUAGGUAAUCGAUACCGACGAUCGAAUCUCGGGCAAGUAACAUACCGAUGACAAAGGGAACAACGUAUGUUGUUAUGCGGUUUGACCGAUAAAGAUCUUCGUAGAAUAUGUAGGAACCAAUAUGAACAUCCAGGUUCCGCUAUUGGUUAUUGACCGAGAAUAGUUCUAUGUCAUGUCUACAUAGUUCUCGAACCCGUAGGGUCCGCACGCUUAACGUUACAAUGACAGUUUUAUUAUGAGUUUAUAAGUUUUGAUGUACCGAAGGUUGUUCGGAGUACCAGAGGAGUCUCGAAAUGGUCGAGACACAAAGAUUGAUAUAUUGUACGGAUAUAUUUGGACACCGGAAAGGUUCCGGAUGAGAUUGGGACUAUACCGGAGUUUCGGGAGGUUACCGGAACCCCCCGGUAAGUAUAUGGGCCUUAUUGGGCCUUAGUGGAAGGGAGGGAGAAGGAUCAAAGGAGGGGGUGCCCCCCCCCAAGCCCAAUCCGAAUUGGGAGGGGGGCCGGCCCCCCCUUUCCUUCUUCCCUCCCCUCUCUUCCUUCCCUCUCCUACUCCUAAUAGGAAAGGGGGGCCAAACCUACUUGGAGUAGGUUUGCCCCCCUAGGGCGCGCCUCCCCUCUUGGUCGGCCCCCUCCUCCUCUCCCCCUUUAUAUACGGAGGAGGGGGCACCCCAUAGACACACAAGUUGAUCUACGGAUCAUUCCUUAGCCGUGUGCGGUGCCCCCCUCCACCAUAUUCCACCUCAGUCAUAUCGUCGCAGAGUUUAGGCGAAGCCCUGCGCCGGUAGAACAUCAUCAUCGUCACUACACCGUCGUGCUGACGGAACUCAUCCCCGACGCUUUGCUGGAUUGGAGCCGGGGAACAUCAUCGAGCUGAACGUGUGCUGAACACGGAGGUACCGUACGUUCGGUGCUUGAAUCGGUCGAGUCGUGAAGACGUACGACUACAUCAACCGCGUUCUGAUAACGCUUCUGCUUACGGUCUACGAGGGUACGUGGACAAUACUCUCCUCUCUCGUUGCUAUGCCAUCACCAUGAUCUUGCAUGUGCGUAGGACAUUUUUUGAAAUUACUACGUUACUCAACAGUGGCAUCCGAGCCUAGGUUUUAUGCGUUAAUGUUAUAUGCACGAUUAGAACACAAGUGAGUUGUGGGCGAUACAAGUCAUACUGCUUACCAGCAUGUCAUACUUUGGUUCGGCGGUAUUGUUGGAUGAAGCGGCCCAGACCGACAUUACGCGUACACUUACGCGAGACUGGUUUUACCGCCGUGCUUUGCACACAGGUGACUAGCGGGUGUCAGUUUCUCCAACUUUAGUUGAACCGAGUGUGGCUGCGCCCGGUCCUUGUGAAGGUUAAAACAGCACCAACUUGACAAACUAUCGUUGUGGUUUUGAUGCGUAGGUAAGAACGAUUCUUGCUCAGCCCGUAGCAGCCACGUAAAACUUGCAACAACAAAGUAGAGGACGUCUAACUUGUUUUUGCAGGGCAUGUUGUGAUGUGAUAUGGCCAAGACGUGAUGCUAUAUUUUAUUGUAUGAAGUGAUCAUGUUUUGUAACCGAAGUUAUCGGCAACUGGCAGGAGCCAUAUGGUUGUCGCUUUAUUGUAUGAAAUGCAAACGCCCUGUAAUUGCUUUACUUUAUCACUAAGUGGUAGCGAUAGUCGUAGAAGCAAUAGAUGGCGUAAACGACAAUGAUGCUACGAUGGAGAUCAAGGUGUCGCGCCGGUGACGAUGGUGAUCACGAUGGUGCUUCGGAGAUGGAGAUCACAAGCACAAGAUAAUGAUGGCCAUAUCAUAUCACUUAUAUUGAUUGCAUGUGAUGUUUAUCCUUUAUGCAUCUUAUCUUGCUUUGAUUGACGGUAGCAUUUUAAGAUGAUCACUCACUAAAAAUUAUCAAGAAGUGUUCUCCCUGAGUAUGCACCGUUGCCAAAGUUCGUCGUGCCCAGACACCACGUGAUGAUCGGGUGUGAUAAGCUCUACGUCCAUCUACAAUGGGUGCAAGCCAGUUUUGCACACGCGGAAUACUCAGGUUAAACUUGACGAGCCUAGCAUAUGCAGAUUGGCCUCGGAACACGGAGACCGAAAGGUCGAGCGUGAAUCAUAUAGUAGAUAUGAUCAACAUAAUGAUGUUCACCAUUGAAAGCUACUCCAUUUCACGUGAUAAUCGGUUAUGGUUUAGUUGAUUUGGAUCACGUGAUCACUUAGAGGAUUAGAGGGAUGUCUUUCUAAGUGGGAGUUCUUAAGUAAUAUGAUUAAUUGAACUUAAAUUUAUCAUGAACUUAGUCCUGGUAGUAUUUUGCAAAUUAUGUUGUAGAUCAAUAGCUUGCGUUGUUGCUUUCAUAUGUUUAUUUUGAUAUGUUCCUAGAGAAAAUUGUAUUGAAAGAUGUUAGUAGCAAUGAUGCGGAUUGGAUCCGUUAUCUGAGGUUUAUCCUCAUUGCUGCACAGAAGAAUUAUGUCCUUAAUGCACUGCUAGGUGACAGACCUAUUGCAGGAGCAGAUGCAGACGUUAUGAACGUUUGGCUAGCUCAAUAUGAUGACUACUUGAUAGUUUAGUGCACCAUGCUUAACGGCUUAGAAUCGGGACUUCAAAGACAUUUUGAAUGUCAUGGACCAUAUGAGAUGUUCCAGGAGUUGAAGUUAAUAUUUCAAGCAAAUACCCGAGUUGAGAGAUAUGAAGUCUCCAACAAGUUCUAUAGCUAAAAGAUGGAGGAGAAUCGCUCAACUAGUGAGCAUGUGCUCAGAUUGUCUGGGUACUAGAAUCGCUUGAAUCAAGUGGGAGUUAAUCUUCCAGAUAAGAUAGUGAUUGACAGAAUACUCUAGUCACCAUCACCAAAUUAGUAGAACUUCGUGAUGAACUAUAGUAUGCAAGGGAUGACGAAAACGAUUCCCAAGCUCUUCGUGAUGCUGAAAUCGAUGAAGAUAAAAAUCAAGAAAAGCAUCAAGUGUUGAUGGUUGACAAGACCACUAGUUUCAAGAAAAGGGCAAAGGGAAGAAGUGGAACUUCAAGAAGAACGGCAAGCAAGUUUCUGCUCAAGUGAAGAAGCCCAAGUCUGGUCCUAAGCCUAAGACUAAGUGCUUCUACUGCAAAGGGACUAGUCACUGGAAGUGGAACUGCCCCAAGUAUUUGGCGGAUAAGAAGGAUGGCAAAAGUGAACAAAGGUAUAUUGGAUAUACAUGUUAUUGAUGUGUACUUUACUAGUGUUUAUAGCAACCCCUCGGCAUUUUGAUAUUGGUUCAGUUGCUAAGAGUAGUAACUCGAAACAGGAGUUGCAGAAUAAACAGUAAAUAGUAAAAAGGCGAGGUGACGAUGUGUGUUGGAAGUAGUUCCAAGAUUGAUAUGAUCAUCAUCGCACACUCCCUAUACUUUCGGGAUUAGUGUUGAAACUAAAUAAGUGUUAUUUGGUGUUUGCGUUGAGCAUGAAUAUGAUUUGAUCAUGUUUAUUGCAAUACGGUUAUUCAUUUAAGUAAGAGAAUAAAUUGUUGUUCUGUUUACAUGAAUAAAACCUUAUAUGGUUACCCACCCAAUGAAAAUGGUUCGUUGGAUCUCGAUCAUAGUGACACACAUAUUCAUAAUAUUGAAACCAAAAGAUGCAAAGUUAAUAAUGAUAGUGCAACUUAUUUGUGGCACUGCAGUUUAGGUCAUAUUGGUGUAAAGCGCAUGAAGAAACUCCAUGCUGAUGGGAUUUUGGAAUCACUUGAUUAUGAAUCACUUGAUGCUUGCGAACCAUGCCUUAUGGGCAAGAUGACUAAAGACUCCGUUCUCCGGAACAAUAGAGCGAGCAACUGACUUAUUGGAAAUAAUACAUACGGAUGUAUGCAAUCCGAUGAGUGUUGAGGCUCGCGGCAAGUAUCAUUAUUUUCUGACCUUCACAGAUGAUUUGAGCAGAUAUGGGUAUAUCUACUUAAUGAAACAUAAGUCUGAAACGUUUGAAAAGUUCAAAGAAUUUCAGAGUGAAGUUGAAAAUUAUCGUAACAAGAAAAUAAAAUUUCUACGAUCUGAUAGUGGAGGAGAAUGUUUGAGUUACGAGUUUGGUCUACAUUUGAAACAAUGCGGAAUAGUUUCGCAACUCACGCCACCCGGAACACCACAGCGUAAUGGUGUGUUCGAACGUCAUAACCGUACUUUAUUGGAUAUUGUACAAUCUAUGAUGUUUCUUACCGAUUUACCACUAUCCUUUUUGGGGUCAUGCAUUAAAGAUAGCUGGAUUCACGUUAAAAAAGGGGCACCACCUAAGUCCAUUGAGACGACACAAUAUGAACUGUGGUUUGGCAAGAAACCAAAGUUGUCGUUUCUUAAAGUUUGGGAUUGCGAUGCUUAUGUGAAAAAGUUUCAUCCUGAUAAACUCAAACCCAAAUCGGAGAAAUGUGUCUUCAUAGGAUACCCAAAGGAGAAAGUUGGGUACACCUUCUAUCACAAAUCCGAAGGCAAGACAUUCGUUGCUAAGAAUGGAUCCUUUCUAGAGAAAGAGUUUCUCUCCAAAGAAGUGAGUGGGAGGAAAGUAGAACUUGAUAAGGUAAUUGUACCUUCUCCCUUAUUGGAAAGUAGUUCAUCACAGAGAUCUGUUCCUGUGACUACUACACCAAUUAGUGAGGAAGCUAAUGAUGAUGUUCAUGUAACUUCAGAUCAAGUUACUACCGAAUCUCGUAGGUAAACCAGAGUAAGAUCCGCACCAGAGUGGUACGGCAAUCCUGUUCUGGAAGUCAUGCUACUAGAUCAUGAUGAACCUACAAACUAUGAAGAAGCGAUGGUGAGCCCAGAUUCCGCAAAAUGGCUUGAGGCCAUGAGAUCUGAGAUAAGAUCCAUGUAUGAAAACAAAGUAUGGACUUUGAUUGACUUGCCCAAUGAUCGGCGAGACAUUGAGAUUAAAUGGAUCUUCAAGAGGAAGACGGACGCUGAUAGUGUUACUAUCUACAAAGCUAGAAUUGUCGCAAAAGGUUUUCGACAAGUUCAAGGUGUUGACUACGAUGCGAGUUUUUCACUCGUAUCUAUGCUUAAGUCUGUCUGAGUCAUGUUAGCAAUUGCCAAAUUUUACGAAAUCUGGCAAAUGGAUGUCAAAACUGCAUUCCUUAAUGGAUUUUUUAAAGAAGAGUUGUAUAUGAUGCAACCAGAAGGUUUUGUCGAUCCGAAAGGUGCUAACAAAAUGUGCAAGCUCCAGCGAUCCAUCAAUGGACUGGUGCAAGCAUCUCGGAGUUGGAAUAUACGCUUUGAUAAGUUGAUCAAAGCAUAUAGUUUUAAUACAGACUUGCGGUGAAGCCUGUAUUUACAAGAAAGUGAGUGGGAGCACUACAGCAUUUCUGAUAAGUAUAUGUGAAUGACAUAUUGUUGAUCGGAAAUAAUGUAGAAUUUUUCUGGAAAGCAUAAAGGAGUAUUUGAAAGGAGUUUUUCAAAGAAAGACCUUGGUGAAGCUGCUUACACAUUGAGCAUCAAGAUCUAUAGAGAUAGAUCAAGACGCUUGAUAAGAUUUUUCAAUGAGUACAUACCUUGACAAGAUUUUGAAGUAAUUCAAAAUGGAACAGUCAAAGAAAGAGUUCUUGCCUAUGUUGCAAGGUGUGAAGUUGAGUAAGACUCAAAACCCGACCAUGGCAGAAAAUAGAAAAGAAUGAACAGUCAUUCCCUAUGCCUCAGUCAUAGGUUCUAUAAAGUAUGCUAUGCUGUGUACUAGACCUAUUGUAUACCUUCCUCUGAGUUUGCCAAAGGAAUACAAUUUUGAUCUAAAAGUAGAUCACUAGAACAGCGGUCAAGAAUAUCCUUAGUGAGGACUAAGGAAAUGUUUCUCGAUUAUGGAGGUGAUAAAAGAGCCAGUCAUAAAAAGUUACAACGAUGCAAGCUUUUACACCAAUCCAGAUGACUCUAAGUCUCAAUCUGGAUACAUAUUGAAAGUGGGAGCAAUUAGCUAGAGUAGCUCUGUGCAGAGCAUUGUGGACAUAGAAUAUUUGCAAAAUACAUACGGCUCUGAAUGUGACAGACCCGUUGACUAAACUUCUCUCAUGAACAAAACAUGAUCAUACCUUAGUACUCUUUGGGUCUUAAUCACAUAGCCAUGUGAACUAGAUUAUUGACUCUAGUAAACCCUUUGGGCGUUGGUCACAUGACGAUGUGAACUAUGGGUAUUAAUCACAUACAUAUGUGAAUAUUGGUGUCAAAUCACAUGGUGAUGUGAACUAGAUUAUUGACUCUAGUGCAAGUGGGAGACUGAAGGAAAUAUGCCCUAGAGGCAAUAAUAAAGUUAUUAUUUAUUUCCUUAUUUCAUGAUAAAUGUUUAUUAUUCAUGCUAGAAUUGUAUUAACCGGAAACAUAAUACAUGUGUGAAUACAUAGACAAACAUAGUGUCACUAGUAUGCCUCUACUUGACUAGCUCGUGAAUCAAAGAUGGUUAAGUUUCCUAGCCAUGGACAAAAGAGUUGUCAUUUUAUUAACGGGAUCACAUCAUUAGGAGAAUGAUGUGAUUGACUUGACCCAUUCCGUUAGCUUAGCACUUGAUCGUUUAGUAUGUUGCUAUUGCUUUCUUCAUGACUUAUACAAAGUUCCUACAACUAUGAGAUUGUGCAACUUCCGUUUACCGAGGAACACUUUGUGUGCUACCAAACGUCACAACGUAACUGGGUGAUUAUAAAGGUGCUCUACAGGUGUCUCCAAAGGUACAUGUUGAGUUGGCAUAAUUCGAGAUUAGGUUUUGUCACUCCGAUUGUCGGAGAGGUAUCUCUGGGCCCUCUCGGUAAUACACAUCACUUAAGCCUUGCAAGCAUUGCAACUAAAGAGUUAGUUGUGGGAUGAUGUAUUACGGAACGAGUAAAGAGACUUGCCGGCAACGAGAUUGAACUAGGUAUUGGAUACCGACGAUCGAAUCUCGGGCAAGUAACAUACCGAUGACAAAGGGAACAACGUAUGUUGUUAUGCGGUUUGACCGAUAAAGAUCUUCGUAGAAUAUGUAGGAACCAAUAUGAACAUCCAGGUUCCGCUAUUGGUUAUUGACCGAGAAUAAUUUUAGGUCAUGUCUACAUAGUUCUCGAACCCGUAGGGUCCGCACGCUUAACGUUACGAUGACAGUUUUAUUAUGAGUUUAUAAGUUUUGAUGUACCGAAGGUUGUUCGGAGUACCAGAUGUGAUCACGGACAUGACGAGGAGUCUCGAAAUGGUCGAGACAUAAAGAUUGAUAUAUUGGACAGAUAUAUUUGGACACCGGAAAGGUUCCGGAUGAGAUUGGGACUAUACCGGAGUUCCGGGAGGUUACCGGAACCCCCCGGUAAGUAUAUGGGCCUUAUUGGGCCUUAGUGGAAGGGAGGGAGAAGGAGCAAAGGAGGGGGCGCCCCCCCCCCCCAAGCCCAAUCCGAAUUGGGAGGGGGGCUGGCCCCCCCUUUCCUUCUUCCCUCCCCUCUCUUCCUUCCCUCUCCUACUCCUAAUAGGAAAGGGGGGCCAAACCUACUUGGAGUAGGUUUUCCCCCCUAGGGCGCGCCUCCCCUCUUGGCCGCCCCCCUCCUCCUCUCCCCCUUUAUAUACGGAGGAGGGGGGCACGCCAUAGACACACAAGUUGAUCUACGGAUCGUUCCUUAGCCGUGUGCGGUGCCCCCCUCCACCAUAUUCCACCUCGGUCAUAUCGUCGCAGAGUUUAGGCGAAGCCCUGCGCCGGUAGAACAUCAUCAUCGUCACCACGCCGUCGUGCUGACGGAACUCAUCCCCGACGCUUUGCUGGAUUGGAGCCUGGGGAACGUCAUUGAGCUGAACGUGUGCUGAACACGGAGGUGCCGUACGUUCGGUGCUUGGAUCGGUCGAGUCGUGAAGACGUACGACUACAUCAACCGCGUUGUGAUAACGCUUCCGCUUACGGUCUACGAGGGUACGUGGACAAUACUCUCCUCUCUCGUUGCUAUGCCAUCACCAUGAUCUUGCAUGUGCGUAGGAAAUUUUUUGAAAUUACUACGUUACCCAACAAGGGUUUCCAACUUUUUUUGUAAAAAAACCAUUUUCUAUUUUCUAAAUGUAAAAAAGGGUGCUUUGUGUGAAGCAUGUACCAAAAACAGGGUACAAAAUGGCACCACUCCAAUUUUCACAAAAAUUAGACCGUAUUUUAUGGACAAUUCCCAAAAUCUGUAGAUUUAUCUCUAAAAAAUUAACAAUUGGUGUAUUUUUUUAAUAUUUAAUAAAAAUAAUAUAUAUUUUUAAUGGGAAAGGCAGAUAUUAAAAGGAUACCAUGGACAUCUGAGGGUGUACGUUGAAGCGUUGGAGGUGCCUUUACGUGCCAGUUUACGACGUGCUCAACCGGGAAUGUGGUAGUAUUAAUCAGUAUAUACUUUUAAAAAUCAAUAUAUAAUUUGUUUGGAUUAUUUUAGUUUGCAGGGCAAACUUAAAAUGGAUUUAUUUAGCCUAUUUUUGUGAAAUCACUAAUUAGGAGGUACCUUUUGCAAAGGUCACACCCCACUUUCAUUAGUGCUGACAGGUGGCACAUGGCAUGUGUGUCCCUUGUCGCAACAUGGGAGUUUGCCCUUUUUGUAGAUUCAUUUUUUUUAAUCUUUUAUCUCUUGAACCGCGCAUUCAAAUCACGACCCAUUUUUAUCGUUGGAUUUCUCACGCCGAGAUCUUUGAAACUAGUCACAUGUUAAUAAGUUCCGAUGAACUUUUUCUUCACGAAAAUCAAACAAAAAAAUAUGAAAACAAAAAAUACAGAAAGCAAAAAAAGAAAAAAAAAACUAAAAUCACGGUUGUGCUUUUUUACAUUUUUGGGAAGAAAAAUUGUGCUUUCCCCUUUUUGGGAAACACGGUUUUGCUUCUUGUGAAAGCAUAGGUUGUGCUUUUCCCUUUUCAAGAAGCAUAGGCCAUGCUUCUCUUGUUCUCCGGGAAGCACAUAUGUGCCUUUCCUUUCGGGGAGCACAGUUUUCUCUUUCGGAAAAGCAUAGAUGUGUUUUUCCCUUUUCAGAGAAGCACUACCUAUGCAUCUCACCGAAGAACAUGCUGUGCUUUUCCUUUUUUGAGGAAGUAUAGUUGUGCUUUCCCUUUUUUACAGGGUAGCAAAAAUUGUGCUUUCUUCCUUCUCGGGAAGCUAUGCUUCCCGCGGAAAAGCACCGCCUCAUGAAAAAACAUAAAAAUGAUUUUUUUUUCAUCAAAACCUAGGGAAAACCAAGAAAAAAAGAAAACAUGUGUAAAAAAAUCUAAGGGUGAACCCAGUGCACGACACGUGGCGGCAAUUGGACGCAUCACUUGAUGCGCUCUCAGGUCCUAAAAGUAGCCUAUGUGGAAUCCCCCGAUGAGAUACCCGUUAGAUAGUUGGAGACCUCCUUGCAUCAAAUAGGAGGGUGGCCACAAAGGGGGCGCAUCCUGGUGGGCCGGCCCAGCAGCGUGCUACACUCUAGCGCAAAUUGGUCAAAAUCUAAAAAGUGAUGUGUGAUCAAAGCGCGCAUGGCUAGCCACUCAAGCUAAUGAAACUCUGCUAACUACUAGGCCGUGUUGAACUUUAAAAAGUACUAUAUGAUACCCCGCGCGUUGUUGCGGGAACUCUUAGUACUUUACAUGAAGAAGCUUGUGGAGUGAAAAUAAUUAAAUGAUGAAAAUAUACACUUUUUAAAACCUUUGGUGGUACUUGUAGGAACAUUAUGGAGUGAAAAUAAGUUAACAAUUAAUAUAUUUUUGAACGUUUGAUGGUAUUUUGAGAAUCAUGAGAGAAAUGGUAUAUUAGGGUAUCUCUGUAUUUAUGUAGUUAGAACGCGCCACCCUUUAGCGGGGAAUUAAAUGCAUCGCUAACAUUAAAAAAUAGAGCAUAUAGUUUGAUGGGAAUUUCACUGAAAACAUGGCCAGCCAAGUCUAAAGCUGAAUAUUACACUGAACAGAGAGCCCAAUCAUUGCCUAACACAAAAGCACUAAUGCUUGUUGAGUUAUUUGUAAUAUAGGAGCAGAAUCCCUUCGAAAGAGAAAUUCCAAAAUAUUAAAAAGAUCCAACAGUAAGACAUCCAUACACCUUACAGUUUAUACAUGGAGACAAGCUACAUACCAAUCGCUAAAAAAGGUGAAUAUAGAGUCAUGCACAUCAGGCCCUCAUGGCAUAGAUGCAUUUCUUCCACUAAAAGGACAUGCCUUAAGGGGAUUAGUGUAGGUGUGAAGAUCUGGACAUAUAAAUGGCAGGAAUGACUUCAUCUUCCUGCCCCUUCUGUGGAAACAAAAGCCCGACUUCAAUUGGGAUCCGUUUGACAUGUUGCUCCCUCUUCAUAAAAUGGAGCUGAUCGUUAUCUAAAAGCAAGCUAGGUAGAUUUGGCAUGGCCAGCAGUAGUACUUGCUACUUUGCCAGUUGUGAUGCAUCAUAUGAGAAGGCAAGGAAGGUUGCGUGCUGCCAUGGCCGGACCCUUUGGGGUGCCAAAUGGUGUUCAAAUUUAUAGUAGGUUCCAUUUUUGGUGGGAAUCCAAGAAAAAGAAGGCAAUGGAGUAAGAUGACAACCCAUUCCCAGACUGCCACUCAAAAUCAAAAUGAAGAGGGUAAAUAAAUGUACUUACUAAGAACACACGGAUAACAUACAGCUGGCUACAGAAACAGCCAAACUUUGUAAGUCCAUGGAAAUUGAGGAAAUUGUGAAAACUAUUUCUGUGAGUAGAAGGAAACGUAGUCCAGUUACCUUUCAUGGUAAUGCUUCUCUUGAGACGAUUCUUAGGAUCCCUGAAGAAUGUCUUCUGUUUUCCUGAAGCGGGAUUCCUUGCUAGAGCAGUACCUUUUGUUCUCUUGAGUUAAGGCAGAGUGGGAAAUACAUCACUAUCAGCUCUAGUUCAAUUGCUUGUAUUUUACAAAAACAUACAAUUGAAACAAUUAUCAGGAAAAGUUAUUACCUUAAUCGCAGCAACUCUUUGAGCAUGCAAUUUGGCGUCUUGGUGUAUAAUCUUCAUGUGUAAACAAUUUGUUUUAGCAUCUAGACUCUAUAAUUAAAAUUAAUAAGUUCUUUAAAACCCAAAGGCAACUAUAUAGACCAAUACAAUUAAACAAAGCCAGCGGGUAGGUUUCAAAUAUUAAGUAGCAGGGCUCCAUAGUUAACUCUCCAUCAUGCAGGCAUUUAGUGUAGUAGAUACAAGACAUACGUGUGACAGAUUGCAUAUGAACAACAUUUAUUAGUAGGAAAAUUGUACUACCGUAUAUUGCACUAACACUAACUAUAUGAAGAAGCCAAUAGCAUGUAAUUUCAGCUUGCAAGAAAGCGCCACUUACUCUUAUAGAUCGGCUAAUCUACAUGGCAACUUCUGGGGAUGGUGAUGGAUAAGUACAGUUGGAUCGUUUUUAGAUGUUAAUCUAUUAUUAUAAAAAUCAUCUUCCUUUACUUUCAAGGGAGAACUGUAGAGGGGAAAGAACAACAUUUUUUAAUCUAAUGAUCCAUCACUUAUUCACAACUAUUGCAAUAACCAAGUAUGUUGGAUGCAAGGACGAGGUGAGAGUGCAGGCAACAUGUAUGUCACAUCAUGCGAACAGGUGGGGAUCAUGUUAAGUCAAUGCAGAAGGAUGCGUUGUGUGUCCGCGCACCGUCAACACCGCCGAGUAAACAGUAAACUAAACCUGGGGACCAGUGCUCUUGACCUUCCCAGCUACUUCUGGCAUAGGGGGAAUAUUUGAGGAUUUAUAGUGCUGAGAUUAGGGUUAGGAGNNNNNNNNNNNNNNNNNNNNNNNNNNNNNNNNNNNNNNNNNNNNNNNNNNNNNNNNNNNNNNNNNNNNNNNNNNNNNNNNNNNNNNNNNNNNNNNNNNNNNNNNNNNNNNNNNNNNNNNNNNNNNNNNNNNNNNNNNNNNNNNNNNNNNNNNNNNNNNNNNNNNNNNNNNNNNNNNNNNNNNNNNNNNNNNNNNNNNNNNNNNNNNNNNNNNNNNNNNNNNNNNNNNNNNNCUCCUCCCGAAGCUUCCUAGGUUUCUUCUGGUCCAAGAAAAAUCAUCGUAAAGUUUUAUUCGUUUGGACUCCGUUUGAUAUUCCUUUUCUGUAAAACUCAAAAACAAGAGAAAAAAACAGAAACUGACACUGGGCUCUGGGUUAAUAAGUUGGUCCCAAAAAUAAAUAAAAUAACAUAUUAAUGCAUAUAAAUCAUCCAAAAUAGAUAAUAUAAUAGCAUUGAACAACCAAAAAUUAUAGAUACGUUGGAGACGUAUCAGGAUCAUGUUAAGUCGAUGCGAAAGGAUGCAUUGUGUGUUCGCACACUGGAUGCUUGCAUUUAUAUGGCUCUAUCAGCAUCGCCGAAUAAACUAAAUCUGGGGACCGGUGCUCUUGACCUUCCCAACUACUUCGACUGGAAAUCAGAUCCUCCAUGCCAAAUAAGAAAGACCGUUCAGGUCGUGCUGAUAGAGAGGAAAGAGACCACUCACCUCCGACAAUGGCACGUGUGGCUCGCCUGAAGGUCCUUGGGUUGAAUCCACGGUGUUGGGCUAGCGUAGCACCCAUUGGCGGCAAUCAUGGGGCUCCAAGAUGGCGUCACCGUGUAGAUGUCUGGUGUUGUUGGCCAUAGACGGUUUUGUCAAAGGCGACGCAUUAUGGAAAGAUGGAGAGAUAAAAGAGGGGAGGAGAAGAACCUGGAAGACAAUAGAUAUUUAUUGGUGAAGGGGAGAUGAACGGAAUCAUCGGGCGAAGAGGUGAUGGCUCGUGUCCGCAUUAGUAUUUUCCCCGAAGAGGAAGGGAUGAUGCAACACAGCUACGGUAGGUAUUUCCCUCAGUGAUGAGACCAAGGUUAUCGAACCAGUAGGAGAACCACGCAACACUAUGUAAAUGGUACCUGCACACAAAGAACAAAUACUUGCAACCCGACGCGUAAGAGGGUUGUCAAUCCCUCCCGGGUAAAAGAUAGAUUGGUUUCUAGUAGAUUGGAUAAAUAGAUCUCGCGGAAACGCAAAAUAAAAUAAAUAACAAAAAAUUGCAUCAAGGUAUUUUUGGGUUUUUAGAAUAAUAGAUAUCUAUACCUAUUAAUAAAAGAAAUAGGUAUUCUUCGUCCGUCAUGCUAUUUUGUAGAAAACCCCCUGAUGUUUCUGACAUUAAACCAGCAGUACAUAUCAAGUGCUUUUUAAAAUACUCAUAAUUUUAAACCAUAACUCCAAAUUUAACAUAUUAUAUAUGGAAUUUAAUUAGAAAAUUAUUUAGAAUCUAAAUAUGAUGUUAUUUUACCUGUUAACAAUUUUUAAAAUAAACUAUCUAGGCUGCAAUGUUAAUCAACAAUGCAUUAUCCGUCUUUUUUUCAUACCGGUAUUGAUUUAGAUUGGGGAUGAAAACCUCAGCAAAAUCAGGAUUGGACAUCAGAUUGAAGAUAAAUUUGUUAGAGACACCGAAUAAAUAAGGACAUGCAUGACAAGAAAUAAAAAGAUCCAAUAAAGAUGGGAUGUCCGCUAUAAAAAUAAAUAAAAGAGAAAAUGCAGAGGAGAUCCGAUAAAGAUGAGAUGUUGCGCUAUUCUCCUAUAUAUAAGAAGAGUAAAAGGAGGACAUGCAUGAAAAAAGGUAAAAAGGAGGCAUGCAUGAAAAAAAUACAAGUUUUAUAAGAAAUAAAUAGUGAUGAAACAGGGACCAAUACCUAUGACAUGUAUGGCAAGAAAUAGUGAUGAAAUAGGGGCACAAGUACCUGAGUCAACAGGAGACCAUAAAAAAUGUUGUUUUCCAGACCAAAAAAAACCUAUUUUAUGAUUAAAAAAUCUUGUACCUUUUUAACAACCUUUUUAACUCUUCAUGUAUUUAAGAAAUAGCUACAAAUUCUCGGAUUAUAAAACAUUUUUUGUAAAUUAAGAGUGUGUGGUACUUUUUUCCCGUUGCAACGCACGGGCCUUUUUGCUAGUGAAAAUAAAAGAGGCAAAUAAUAGAUCGGAAAGCAAAUAUGAUAAAGAAUAGACCCAGUGGCCGUAGAUUUCACUAGUGGCUUCUCUCCAGAAAAAUUGCAUACAGUGGGUAAACAAAUUACUGUUGGGUAAUUGAUAGAACUUCAAAUAAUUAUGACGAUAUCCGGGCAAUGAUCAUUAUAUAGGCAUCAUGUCCUAGAUUAGUAGACCUACUCCUUCCUGCAUCUACUACUAUUACUCCACACAUCGACUGCUAUCCAGCAUGCAUCUAGUGUAUUAAGUUCAUGGAAAAAUGGAGUAAUGCAAUAAGAAUGAUGACAUGAUGUAAACAAGAUCUAUUCAUGUAGGAAUAGACCCCAUCUUGUUAUCCUUAAUGCAACGAUCAAUAUGUGUCUUGCUGCCCCUUCUGUCACUGGGAAAGAACACCGCACGACCGAUCCCAUCACAAAGCACCUCUUCCCAUGGCAAGAAAAAUCGAUCUAGUCAACCUAACUAAACAAAAGAUUCGAAGAAGAAUACGAGGCUAUAAGUAAUCAUGUGUCUAAGAGAUCAAAACUCAAAUAACUUUCAUGUAUAAAAUAGAUCUGAUCAUAAACUCAAAGUUCAUCGGAUCCCAACAAACACACCGCAAAAAGUGUUACAUCAAAUAGAUCUCCAAGAGACCAUUGUAUUGAGAAUCAAAAGAGAGAGAGGAAGCCAUCUAGCUACUGCCUACGGACCCAUAGUUCUACAAUGAACUACUCACGCAUCAUCGGAGAGGCACCAAUGAGGAUGAUGAACCCCUCUGUGAUGGUGUCUAGAUUGGAUCUCAUGGUUCCGGAACUUGCGGCAGCUCGAAUUGUGUUUCGUCGACUCCCCUAGGGUUUUUGGAUUUUCGGGGUAUUUAUAGAGCAAAAAGGUUGUGCGGGAGGGCACCGAGGUGGGCACAACCCACCAGGGCACGCCUGGGCCCCCAGGCGUGCCCAGGUGGGUUGUGUCCCCUGGGGACACCCAUCUGGUACUUCUUUGGCCCAAGUUGUUCCUUCUGGUCUAGAAAAAUUCUCCAAAAAGUUUCGUUGCGUUUGGACUCCGUUUGGUAUUGAUUUUCUGCGAAGUAAAUAACAAGCAAAAAAUAACAACUGGCACUGGGCAAAUAGGUUAAUAAAAUGAUAUAAAGUUGCUAUAAAAUGAUUGUAAAAUAUCCAAGAAUGAUAAUAUAACAGCAUGGAACAAGCAAAAAUUAUAGAUAUGUUGGAGACGUAUCAAGAGGCAAUAAGAGGAAGGCGCAGCAAUCAGUUCGACGGUAGUAAAAAAUUACACGAUUCCUUUCGUUGAAAAGGGAAAAAGGAAGCAUUGGUGAUGUGGCAGAUUUUCUAACCUGGAUGGCAGCAUGUUGAUUGCUGAUGUGGAUAGGCUACAUGUCAAGAGAAAUACGGUACUGGGGAUGAACUAUUUAGGUAUUAUAUAUGCGCAACAUCACAUCUAAACUCUUUAUGAAAUUACAAAACACGAUGGUUUUUAAAAUGGAUAUAUUUUGGAACCCAAUUUUUUAAAAUUUAUGAAUAAAUUUUUGAAAACUUGAACAAUUUCUUGAGUCUAUGAACAAUUUUUUGAACACGAACUUUUUUUCAAAAUUUCAAAACGCAAUUAUUUUUUUAAUGUAACCUUUUUCAAAAUUCAAAAACAUGAUUGUUUGUAAAGUGAAUAUGUUUUUAAAAUUCUAGACUAAAUUUGCAAGUUGAAUAUGUUUUGAGAAACACUCGAAAUUGUGGACGUUUUCUAAAACGUCAAAGAACUUUGAAAAACAUCAAACAUUUUUCAAAGCACGGAUUCUGGGAAAAAAACAAAUUCCGAACAUCUUUUAGAAAUUUUGAAUUUAUGAAAAAAGAAAAAGAAGCAGAAAAUGAAAAAAGAAAGAAAGCAAGGAAAAGCAGUGAAGAAAUAAAACAGAAAAAGGGAAAAAACCUGAAAAUAGUGGUAAAGACUGAUCCUAGCUACUUGGGCUGGUCCAUCUAUGGUUUACUCGCUGCUCAUUUCGGAGAUUUCUUUUAGGGGUAAAACCAAGUUUUAUACAUCAAACACCAUAGAGUGUGGGAUAGAGUUUGGGUCAUGGCAUUUUCCAAAGCAAACAUUGCGUCCCAGACCUAACGAAAGAGAAAACCUGCCUAGAUUAUGUGCUUCGACAUUUACAGGAUGAUCUUUAGAUAAAAAAAUACAAUGAAAUAAAUACGGUUGCAACUUGAUCUCGUUGAUAAUGGCUCGUUUCCACAUAGUUUGCUCACAUUUUUGAGAGAAAAUUUAGCCUUGAUGGGCUGGGAAAUUGGGCCAGCCAUCCUCGAGUGUGACUGGCUUGUCUUUGUCUAGUAUAAAUCCCAUCACGUUGCCCAAGAGCCCACCCUUAUCUAUUUUUCUACAGGACCCAUAUAUGUUUGGUUCCUUCAGCACGAUGGGCCGCCUCCCAGCCUCCCUCGCCCGCUCGACAGCUCCCCCACCAAUAGAGUUAGGCCCUCGACCCUCCCCCACCCCAAGGUUGCGAGCAUGUCCCUUCCCGACAUCUCUUCCACACGGCCUCGUCCCACCCCAUGUUCUCCCCCAAGUGCUUUGUCGAGUGUCAUGGAAAAAUAUUCUUGGCAAGAUAGUGGAACUCACGCAAAAUGUGCUUUAUCGAGUGCUACACUCGGCAAAAGGGGGUAUGCAGGGAAGCAAAAUCAUGCUUUUUUCCUUCUCGGGAAGCUGCGCUUCCCGUGGAAGGCUUCAUCAAAAACCAGAAAAAAAGAUUUUUUUUUUCAUCAAAACCUAGGGAAAAUAAAAGAAAAAAAACACGUGUAAAAAAUAAAAUCUUAAGGGUGUACCUGCACACGACAUGUGGCCGCAGUUGGGCACAUCACUUGAUGCGCUCUCAGGGCCUCAAAGUAACCUCUGCAGGAACCCUCGACAAGAAACCCAUCAGACAGUUGGAGUCUCCCUUGCGUCAAAUAGGAGUGUGGCCACAAGGGGAGCGCGUCCUGGUCGGCCGGCCCAGUAGCCUGUAGCACUCUACCGCAAAUUUGUCAAAAUCUAAAACAUGACGUUUGAGCAAAGCUCGCAUGGCUAGCCAGUCAAGCUGAUGAAACUUUGCCAACUACUAUGUCGCGUUGAUCAGUAAAAAUUAUGUGCAACAUCACAUAUGAAAAAAAAUUGGAAUUUCAAAACACGGUUGUUUUUAAAAUGAACUAGUAAAGUGGCCCGCUCGAUGUGCGGGCUAGAUUUUUAAGUUUUUUUUAAUAAUAUCAUAUUGUUUGAUUUGGCUAAAGAAAAAUUGGAACCCAAUAUGACGACUUUAUUGUGCGGGCUCAAUCUUUGAAUUGUCUAUUAUGUUUUAUGAUUGAAUUUCUUAUCUGUAGUAAGUCAAUACAUAAUUAUGACGACUUUAUUGUGCGGGCUCAAUCAAUAUUAUUAUUUACUGUUAUUCUUCUUAUUUUUAUUGUUAAAAAAACAAUGUUAAAGUCAACCCAUUUGAAAAAAACUAAUUUAAUGUAAGUAUAGUAUCUAAAGUCCUAGUAUAGUAAUUUCAUUUCAAUUUAAUUUUAUUGUAUUCUUCCAUUUUGAAAAUGUAUUUUUAUUAUGAAUCUAGCACUUUAGUUAAAAUACAAAUAAAACUACUACAUUACUGAUCCCAAAAUUAAACAAAAAUGUGUACAUAAACUUGUCUUUAUCAUCGAUGAAUUACAACCAGAUCAUAUGUUUAAAUAAUGGAUAUUUAUAUUAUUAAUCAACCAAGCAUAGUUCUUUUGAUCUCGUAGAUUGUGAUUUUCCAAUAGUGUCUUGUCUUUUUGUUUAUGUGCAAAUAAUAGUUCACCUAUCAUAUUUUACGAGAAUGGGAAACAAAUAUAAGAAAUAGAACUGAAAGAAUUAUAUGGACGUCUAUUCUUGGAAAAUUGUUUAUGGUGUCACCAUCUCGUUCACGUGUGAGUAUGCAAUCUAAUUUCUAACAUGGCAUUCUUUCAUGCGUGAAGAAAUUUCAAGUUAUCACAACGCGACAUGAGUUCGAUAGAAUAUUAACUCAUUCGGAAAAAAAGAUAUGUACAUACAAAACUAAUGAAGUAACUUCAGUAAAAAUUAAUAUGUUACCCAAGAUUUUGAGGGACUGUGAUUUUGAAGGGGUAUUACAUUUUUGUAAUGUUAACUUGACACAUUGGUGAGAAACACAAUUCGAAUAGAAUACACUAAAGCUGAGAAAACAGAACUUUGUUGAACAAUAAUUAACCGGCUAAGAACUUACAAUGUAUCAUGCCUUUGCUGUUAACAACUAUAUGCAGCAGUAUUUUUUUUAUAUUUAUAAUUAUCACUCAAACUAACUUUUUAGAAAGCAUACUAAUUAGUUAGAUAUUCAGGGAUGCAUUGAUAACAGUAAUCGCUAUCGUCUAGCCUUGCCUCCUGUCUGAUGCACUACAAGCAAAGGAUUCAAAACUACGUUUUCCUGUAAUGUAAAACAAUAAUACUUCAUGGAGAUCAUGUUUGCAUGUGCAUAUGGAAUUUAUCAAUAGUAGGUAGAAAAGUCCUAGCUAGCUUAGCUUAGCUUAGGAUAACGCCCUGGCAUCUAAACUGCUUCAUAUAUGCAAUCCAAUUGUAUGGGUCAAAUAUACAAAACCUGAAGCUCAUGGUCUAGAUGUUUCAUUGAUAAUAUCAUUUCCACCAGACUGGCGACCGAUUAUACAGUAGUCUACCUGUAUUGUUUAACACUGAGAUACCGCAUCAGCCAAAUCAUAGCACCUGAGGUGCCUCUUCUAGUGGACGGUGAGAGCAUAUCUGUAAUAAUCAUCCUUUGUAUAACAUUAUUUAUACCUCCAAAUGUUGCACCACACAUGUUCAUCUUUAGAGUCAAGCCCUAUUGCAGCGCAGGUUGUGCUUGGCCAGCACCUUCGUGAUGAACUUGCCAGUGACCACAGUGCAAGCAACUACCAGUACCCAGGAAGCCUCGACGAAGCCAAUGACGUACUGCUCUAUUUCGCGCCGGUCCCAUGUGGCCCACUUGUUUCCCUGAGCAUGUCGGUAUCGACAAAGGAACGAUAGUCGCUAGAUUAAAGGGAAGUGAGAUGGAAAGACACACUCGAGGAGGAAGAUGUUUAGGACUAUGUAUUUGCAUACUCUUUUGGAUCAAGGACGUGGGAUGUAAGUACGGUGUUUGCCUUUUUUUCUUUCUCUUUUUAGCUUUGAAGGGAUGUGUACAUGUUUUUUUUUAUGUCUACAUGCUUGAUUUUUUUUCCUCUGGAGGGAUAUGUACUUGUUUGUAUUUUUAAAAGGUUGGGGGAUCAUUCAUUUUGUACGCACUUGUUUUUUUUUCAAAUGUAUGUACGUGCCUGAUGGAUAUGUGUGGGGACGUUCUUUUUUAUAUAUGUGGGAUAUGUACGUGCNNNNNNNNNNNNNNNNNNNNNNNNNNNNNNNNNNNNNNNNNNNNNNNNNNNNNNNNNNNNNNNNNNNNNNNNNNNNNNNNNNNNNNNNNNNNNNNNNNNNNNNNNNNNNNNNNNNNNNNNNNNNNNNNNNNNNNNNNNNNNNNNNNNNNNNNNNNNNNNNNNNNNNNNNNNNNNNNNNNNNNNNNNNNNNNNNNNNNNNNNNNNNNNNNNNNNNNNNNNNNNNNNNNNNNNNNNNNNNNNNNNNNGUGCCUGAUGGAUAUGUGUGGGGACGUUCUUUUUUUUUUCCAUGAUGGAUGAACGAUGUGGGAUGUGUAUUUUUUUAUAUCUGGGGGGUACACUCUUUUUUAGUGUCCACCGGGUUAUGAAGAUCUAAGGCCUAUGAUUUAUUAGUACAGAGAAGUUCUAUUAAAUCAACCAUCGGAUACUUCUGAUUUUUAUAGAAUUUUUGAUCAUAUUUCUCUUUGUUAGUUAACCUGCUAUUUACUUUUAAUAUAUAGUAGAUACUAUAUAUGCAGUACGUGACCAUGUAUGAGUUUGUGAGGGAUUCUCUAUAUACACAUAUGUGCGUUUGUUUUUUCCUUAUGGAACAGAUGUGCAUGCACGUGCUUUCCAAUUAACAUGGUAGGCUUGCCAAAAAAAAUUAACGUGAUUCCUCACGCAACAUCUUUUUUUAUAGAAGAGCUCUGACAACCGAAUAAUCCAGGCUUUUUUUCUAGAUUGGAAAAUAUCUACGUGGGACAUGUGCCAUGUAAAUCCUUAGAGGCCCAUCAUAUUAUAUAUGUUACGUAAAUUGAACGGUCACGUAAUCUUAAUUUUAAGAGAUUUACCGGAUCGAGGGUUAUUAUUUUCUAAUUAAUGUGGAAUUUUAUAACCUAUUUCUCUCCCUUUUGGUUCACCGUAUAUUACUUUUAGUAUAUAAAAUAGAUGGUUUUUGGAACAUGGACUUUUUCCAAAUUUAUGAAUAAAAUUUGAAAACUAGAGCAAUUUUUGACUAUAUCAAGGUUUUUUUUUAACACAAACUUUUUUUGAAAUUUUAAAACACGAUUAUUAUUUUAAUACAACCUUUCUUAGAUUUCAAAACACGUUUUUAAUGAAUAUUUUCUUAAACCCUACCAAAAGUUGAAAAUUUGAACAUUUUCAAAAACACUCCGAAGUGUGGACAUUUUCUAAAAAACGUGAAAGGAUUUAGGAAAACUUCAAACUUUUUCAAAGCACGAAUAAUUUUUGGGAAAAAUGAAACAAAAUCAAAUUCCGAACAGUUUUUGAACAUUUUUUUAGAAAUGUUGAAUUUAUGAAAAAAAAGGAUAAAUUAUGAAAGAAACGAAAAUUGGUGAAGAAGAAAACAAGAGAAGGAAAAAAACUAAAAAAUAGUGUAAGAAAAAAACACCAAUACUAGCUACUUGGGAUGGUACAUAUGCGGUUUGCUCACUGCACAUUUCCUAAAUUUUUUUAGGGGUAAAAGCAAGUUUUAAUCAUCAAACACCAUAGAGUGUGGGAUAGAGUUGGGGUCGUGGAAUUGGUUAAACCCAACGCGGCGUCCCAGACCUAACGAAAGAGAAAGACUGGCUAGACUAUGUGCUUCGACAUUGAUAGCAUGACCUUUACAAGAAAAAUUACUAUCAAAUAAAGAUGGUUGCAACUUAAUCUCGUUGAUAAUGGCUCGUUUCCCACAUAGUUUGCUCACAGUUUUUGAGAGAAAAUUUAGCCUUGAUGGGCUGGGAAAUCGGGCCAACCAAUCUCAAGUGCGACCGACUCAUCUUUGUCCACUAGAAAGCCUGCCACGUCGCCCAAGAGCCAACCCUUAUCUUUUUUUUACAGGACCCGUAUAUGUUUUAUUCCUCCAGCAAGACCGGUCGCCGCCAAGCCUCUCUCGCCCGCUCGACAGCUCCCCCCGCUGCCGGGGCUAAGCCCUGGAUCCCCCCACCCCCAGGUUGCGAGCUUGUCCCAUCCCUCCCUCUCUUCUGCGUAGCCUCGCCCCACCUCGUCUUCUCCCCCACCGGUGCUUUGCCUAGUUUCUUGGAAAAAAACUCUCGAUAAAAUAUUGGAACUCUGAUAAAAUGUGCUUUCCUGAUUGCUACACUCGGCAAAAGGGGGUAUGCACUGCACUGUUUUGGUUGUCCAUAUUGCAUACGACCUCGGAUGAAGAUGAUCCCAAAAUCAAAGUUUAUCAUUUUGACAAGAUGAUUAAUUUUCAUGUUCAGAACUUUUCCAUUUUAAGCCAUGUUAUUUACACUUUGGGCAAUGCCAAAAUAUGGUCUCAAAUGAAUAUGGCGGUGGUCAUAUUUAUAGCAUAGUUUCUGACAAUGGGCCUAAAGUUGGCAUUUUGUUGCAUCUCGCCAUUACAAACAAUGAUGCCAAAUAGAGUUUCCAACAUUUUGUACAAAAACUAAUUUUCCCAUUUGCUAAGUGUAAAAAAUGGAUAUUUUAUGAAGCGGGUAAAAAAACAUAGUGCAAAAUGGCACCACCCCAAUUUACAUAAAAAGUAGACCACAUGUUUUAGAAAAUUCCCAGGUUUUGUGGAUCUUCUAGAUUUCUAGCUACUUUCCACAGUUAAAUUCAAAUUUGAACUUUAAGUCUGUGAUAGCUUUGUCCUAAAAAUUAGCAAAAAUGUAAUCUAUUUUUUUAGGUAUGCAAGUAGUCAUUUUAUGAAAUCACCACUUAAGUUUGAGAGAUUCAGGCCCUUGCCAUGACUAUCCAUGCCGGGCAUUUUGACCCCGUUUUGGAAAAAUGAAACAAAAAGGAUACAAGUUCAAAAAAAAUGCAAUCCAUUCGUAUGGACUCCUUUUAUGUGUACUAGCUAGGAUGAAAAUACCAAACUUCAAUAUGAAAACUUUGAAAGAAAAAUAUCCAUCACAAAACGGGCUAUCAUGUAUGAACCUUCACGGCUUUAAAGUCAAACGACCAAGGUGACGACAAUAUCCAUUCCAUAGUUUAUUAUAUUAUGCCCAAAUUAGACAUAUAGGUGAAUCAUGCCAUUGCAAAUAAUGUUGUAAAAUAGAGUUUCCAACUUUUUGUACAAAAAAUCAUUUACUAUUUUCUAAGUAUCAAAAAAAUGGGUGUUUCUUGUGAAGUGGGUUCAAAAAAUAGAGUGGAAAAUGGCACCACUCCAAUUUUCACAAAAAGUAGACCAUAUUAGAUGGACAAUUCCCAAGUUUUGUAGAUGUCUAGAUAAAAACUAACAAUUGGUGUAUUUUUUAAUAUUUAAUGAAAAUAAAAAACGGGCGAGAAUAUGACCAGGGGUGUAAACUGUGGAGGGGGCGCCGCACACGGCUAACAAUUGAUGUUGUGUGUUCUAGGCGCCCCCUUCCCCACAUAUAUAUAGGUGGGAGGGGAGGGGAGGCAGCCAGGGGGCACCCCAAGUAGGAUCUGAAUCCUACUUGGGGUUUCCCCAANNNNNNNNNNNNNNNNNNNNNNNNNNNNNNNNNNNNNNNNNNNNNNNNNNNNNNNNNNNNNNNNNNNNNNNNNNNNNNNNNNNNNNNNNNNNNNNNNNNNNNNNNNNNNNNNNNNNNNNNNNNNNNNNNNNNNNNNNNNNNNNNNNNNNNNNNNNNNNNNNNNNNNNNNNNNNNNNNNNNNNNNNNNNNNNNNNNNNNNNNNNNNNNNNNNNNNNNNNNNNNNNNNNNNNNNNNNNNNNNNNNNNNNNNNNNNNNNNNNNNNNNNNNNNNNNNNNNNNNNNNNNNNNNNNNNNNNNNNNNNNNNNNNNNNNNNNNNNNNNNNNNNNNNNNNNNNNNNNNNNNNNNNNNNNNNNNNNNNNNNNNNNNNNNNNNNNNNNNNNNNNNNNNNNNNNNNNNNNNNNNNNNNNNNNNNNNNNNNNNNNNNNNNNNNNNNNNNNNNNNNNNNNNNNNNNNNNNNNNNNNNNNNNNNNNNNNNNNNNNNCCCCCGGUACUCCUAUAAAUACCCGAUACAUUCGGGAACACUUCCGGUGUCCGAAUACUAUCAUCCUAUAUAUCAAUCUUUACCUGUCGACCAUUUCGAGAUUCCUCGGCAUGUCCAUGAUCUUAUUCGGGACUCCGAACAACAUUCGGUCACCAUAUCACAUAACUCAUAUAAUACAAUAUCAUUAUCGAACGUUAAGCAUGCGGACCCUACGGGUUCGAGAACUAUGUAGACAUGAUCGAGACACCUCUCCGGUCAAUAACCAAUAGCGGAACCUGGAUGCUCAUAUUUGAUCCUACAUAUUCUACGAAUAUCUUUAUCGGUCGAACCGUUAUGACAACAUACAUUAUUCCCUUUGUCUAUCGGUAUGUUACUUGCCCGAGAUUCGAUCGUCGGUAUCUGCAUACCUAGUUCAAUAUCAUUACUGGCAAGUCUCUUUACUCGUUUUGUAAUACAUCACCUCACUAACGGAUGGGUCUUGUCCAUCACAUCAUUCUUCUAAUGAUGUGAUCCCGUUAUCAAAUGACACCUCAUGUCCAUGGUUAGGAAACCUUAACUAUCUUUGAUCAACGAGCUAGUCAAGUAGAGGCUCACUAGGGACAUAGUGUUUGUCUAUGUAUUCACACACGUAUUGAGGUUUCCGAUCAAUACAAUUCUAGCAUGGAUAAUAAACAUUUAUCAUGAAUAAGGAAACAUAAAAUAAGAACUUUAUUAUUGCCUCUAGGGCAUAUUUCCUUCAAAUCAGUAUAUGUGUGCAUGCUUGGUUGUUAGUGAAAUGUUUUAUGUAUAUGUGUACAUGCUUGGUUGGGCCAACUUUGUGUAUUACAUUUUGUGAAAUACAAACUUGAUAUAUGCCACAUUUGUGUUAACGACCAAUAAGUAUAUACGUAACUAUAUUUUGCCUUCUUUUUCCUCCUCCACAAGAAAAGGUCCCAUGCUUUUCUCCUCCUCCAAUUGGCGCCGUAGCUAGUCCGCCCCAUCUUUGAUGGCCUUUGGGCCCUUUAGUACUGUACCGAACCAGCAGCCUUCGCGCCAAGCGACGACCGCCCUUGUCCCUUUCCUUUUUCCAUUCAGCCUACUUCUUAGCUUUGUUCUGUCAGUCUAAGGCAAAGCUUAAGUGGUUUGCCUACCUUACCCACUUGAUGAAAGGGAACGGACUUCAUUUCCUUGGCGGCUUUAUGGAUGGAUUCAGUCAGAAAAAACUCCUUCCUUUUGAAAAAAGUGACGCCACGAAGGUGAGUAGGACCUCAGGCCCUCGCUGGCGGGAGGGAACCUGUUCUCAUUCUUUUUUGGUUCAAUGUCUUGCUGGAGCGCUGUGUUGCGGCUAUGAUGUCUCUCAGUAGGAAUAAUGUUUCACAUGUUCUAUCCCUGUCUCGAUGGUGCCUCUAGCAUCAUCAUAGGGCAUGUGGAGGUGUGUCUCUAUCGGAUUUCGCAGGAUUCGGUCGGCAUUAGUCUUCGGUGGAUCUGUUUGGACACGGUCUAUGUUCAUCUUUGUGGUGUUUAUACUAUUGAUCCUUCCGAUCUAUGACUUUCUUCAUCGACGAUGGUUGCUGCUUCGGUGCGCUGGUCCUAUGGGUCCUUAGCACGUCAACUUCCUGACUAUUGACUACAACAAGGUUUGCCCGGCUCCAGCGAUCGGGGGGGGGGGUGAUGGCGAUGCACAGCUUUCUUUAGUGCUUGUAGUCAUCACUAGGUGGUCCAUGGACCUGGUUGUAAUUUUUUGUAUCUCUGGUGUUCUUUGUACUGCCAUGAUUGAAGAUGAAUAGAUUGGAAGUUUCUCACGCAAAAAUAACUAUAUAAAUAACUAUUUUAGCAAAAUUCGCAAAAAAAACUAUUUUAGCAAGUAAUAAAUUUUGACACCAAUUAUAUGGUAGUAAUUAAUAUUUACCCUAAUAAUAUCCGCAUUGGAUUCAGGUUUUAUACUAUGUAUACAAACGAGAGUAUGUUUGGAUAAUUGUGUGAACACAAGGAUAUAUCUUAGCAAAACUAUUUUUAGCAACAAGUAAAUGAAUUAAUAUAUGCUAGCUAUACUCUGCUGGUGAAAACAUGGUGUAUUAGUUGUACAAAGCAUGCAACACGGUUUCACUCCCCUUUAUAUUCCUGGGCGGAACACAAUUUCAGAUCCAAGUUUUAUGUUUGUCUACACAGUCCCAUCUUCUUCCCAUAUCAGCAGGAAAAUUCACUCCAAUCAUCUCGCCAUUCUACACUUGGGUAAUCAGGUUUGCUUCAAUCUACCAUCCUUGAAUAUAUGCCCCACAUCUUGUUUCUGCGUCCUAAUCUUAUUAAGCUUGUAAUUAGUAGUUAGUGCAAGAUCAAAAAGGAGCUAUGGACAAAACACCAUCCGCACCUGCUGAUAAAAUCACCAUAGGACAAGCGGUGCCUAAUCAUGAAAUAGCAGGAGAUUCAAGUGACAGUGAGAGAACAAUCAGUGAGGGUUAUGUGGGGAUCAUGUAUGGUGGUAGCCAAACCCACGAUGGCAACCUAGAAGGAGAAUCUGAUAUGGUAUUGCUAGCAACAGAUUCAAGUGACAGCGAGAGAACAACCAGUGAGGGUUAUGUGGGGAUCCUGUAUGGUGGUAGCCAAAUCCAGGAUGGAGACCUGGAGGGAGAAUCGGCUAUGGUAUUGCCUGCUGUAGGAGAGAAUACCACGGCGAGAUCUAACAGUCAUGGUUAUACGCGUAGCUUGGAAAUUGAUUCUACCUCUCGUAGUGAGAGGCAUGCUGCCAGGUCAGAUUCUGUUCUAGUGGCACAACGCCGAGACUGCAUACAAAUUUACCCUGAGUGGCUGGAGAAAAUUGAUUCAGGCAAAAAGAUGUGGACAGCUCUCAACCAAUUUCGAGCAAAUGGGAAGCACGAAGAGGUUAGUAUAUACACAUGUUCUGGUGUGCUCUCUCAUCAAAUAAUUUUCAUUGUGGGUUAAUCAUCUCAUAACAUAAGGAGUGUUUGCUUGAUGGGCAUUCAGACCAAAUGAUGAACGAAUUAGAUCCUAGGUUCUCCAAAAGAUGACAUUGUGUUUUGCUUCCGUUACCUCAUAGAUUUUCAGCCUUUGCGUCAAAAUGAUUUUAUGCAUUUGUUUUCGCACUAACUUGUAUUUUUUAAGCACAACCAUCCAUAUAUGUAAAAAAACUCAUGGCCACGUGUGAUUGAUAGAAAUCAGUUAACAUCUCAAUUUCCUCAUGUGCUAUUGUAUGACUACG
rnacentral:lncRNA from 1 species